rnacentral:misc_RNA from 1 species
GCAUUUACUUCAUCUGCUUCUCCUUUCGGAUCCCCGUGAUAGACUUCUCUCCCCAUCCAAUCCGUGUCAAAAAGGAAAAAGGGAAACCAGGACAACCAAGUCAGAGCCAUGACAAUGAGAACCGAAUGCAUUGCGGGAGGCAAAUGACGUAAGCUGGUCAACAGAUUGACCAAAACUGCUCCAGGGCUAUCAGCGAAGCUAUCACCUUGAUCCUUGUCUGGUCUCUGUUCUUCAUUCUUUGGACUAUUAUCUGCUACAUGACCCAUCUCAGAUUCAUUAUUUGCCACACUAUUUGCAUACUGCAACUCCCUUUUCGAUUGAGAAAGGUCAAAUCCAGUAUUCUGAGGACUAUCCAAGAGAGGAGCAGAAUCUGACAUGCGCUUAUAUUGCUUGGGUGACAGCGGGACUUCAUUAGCGAAGUAGAGAGUUACUAACGUGCAGAGAGUUAGAAAGACCACUGCAACUAAGAAUGCUGCUUUGAGAUUUCCACAUGGCUCACAACAAGCUCUAUUUGUCAAAAACGGAAACCAUCUGUGCCAACCUCCACUGGCUCCAGCAGAAAAUCCAAGAAUGUUUCCAACAGCCAUCCAGGAGCAGAACACAGCAUUUGCGGUAUUUCUUUGAUCAGGACCUGACAAAUCUGCCAAAAGAGCUCGAGCCGGACCCUGCACAGUAUUAUUAGCAAGAUCGAGCAUCCAAAACCCAACGACAAAUACAAUGGCUGCUCUUGAGCGAGUGCCUUUGAAAGUGCUGCAAUGCUCUUUUGUGUCCCCCAAUAAGUAUCCUAUGUCUGCAGAAAACCCGAUAAUUAUCACAGCAAUAGAGAUCAUGACAGCUCCAAUAAAAAUGAAAGGCCUUCUUCUGCCAUAUUUAGAAUGACAUUUAUCACUCCAUAUACCUACACAAGGUUGUACCACAAGGCCAGUAAUAGGACCGCAUAGCCAAAUAAAAGAAGAGAAGGCAUGCUCUAUGCCAAGUGUCUGAAUAUAAGGUGUAAGGAGAGAUAGUUGCAGAGCCCAUCCAAACUGAACCCCAGCAGCGACGGUGCAACUAAGAAUCAAGGUGAGCAAACUGUUACGUACAGGCGGUGGAGGAAGAGGUAGAUUAGAAUCAUUCAUUUCUCCAUUAGAAACCCUAGGAGAUGAUGAAUCACUACGGAUCUCGAGCUGUGCAAACCGUGAUUCAUCAACAUUAGUUAAUUCCACUUCCUGCUGCUUCAGAUUCUUAUACGGUACUCUGAUCGAUACCGCAUCCAUUUUUCAGGCGAAUGAAUUGGGAUCUCCUUCACAUUCGAUCUGGAAAUGGAGAUUGAUGAAGCUCGGAGAUUAUGAAACGGCGUCGGAUUCAAAGGUGGAUAUGCUUGACUUUUACACAAAGGGAAAGAGAAGGGCACCGACGGCUAUUUUCAUUUUCCUUGUUAUGUCAUUUUGGUAUACACGAG